rnacentral:rRNA from 1 species
AUUGAACGCUGGCGGCAGGCUUAACACAUGCAAGUCGAGCGAGCGGCGGACGGGUGGGUAAUGUCUGGGAAACUGCCUGAUGGAGGGGGAUAACUGCGGGAAAAGGUAGCUAAUACCGCAUACAAUCAGAUCUGCUCAGAUGGGAUUAGCUAGUAGGUGGGGUAAUGGCUCACCUAGGCGACGAUCCCUAGCUUGUCUGAGAGGCUGACCAGCCACCCUGGAACUUAGACACGGUCCAGACUCCUACGGGAGGCAGCAGUAGGGAAUAUUGGGAAAUUGGCGCAAGCCUGAUGCAGCCAGGCCGCGUGUGUGAAGAAGGCCUUCGGGUUGUAAAGCACUUUCAGCUAGGAGGCGUUACUCACAGAAGAAGCACCGGCUAACUCCGUGCCAGCAGCCGCGGUAAUUC